rnacentral:rRNA from 1 species
CUGGCCUGCUCACUGACAAAGUUUUAAAUAGCCGCGGUAUUUUGACCGUGCAAAGGUAGCAUAAUCAUUAGUCUCUUAAUUAGAGGCUUGAAUGAACGGUUUGACGAAAAAUCAUCUGUCUCUUAUUAAAUUAUAGAAUUUAACUUUUAAGUAAAAAGGCUUAAAUUUUUCUUUAAGACGAGAAGACCCUAUAGAGCUUAACAUUUAAUUUUUAUAUUAUUUUUAGUUAAUUUCUUUAUAUUUAAUAAUGAUGUUUAGUUGGGGUGACAUGAAGAAUAAAUAAACUCUUCAUAAUAAAAUCAUUAAUUUAUGUUUAUUAUGAUCCAUAAUUUAUGAUCAUAAGAUUUAGUUACCUUAGGGAUAACAGCGUAAUUGUUUUUGAGAGCUCAUAUUGACAAAACAGAUUGCGACCUCGAUGUUGGAUUAAGAAUAAUUUUGGGUGCAGUAACUCAAUAAUUAGGUCUGU